CAACAAAUAGGGCUAUCAGUCAUUUCAGGAGAAGGAAAGGGGAGGGAAGCAAUUUUUACUGCUCCCUAAUAUCUCUGCUGGAUGCUUCAUCGUCUCCCAUCAUUGUCAGUGCUUCCAUGAUCACGAGUCUAACCAAAUAUUCCAGAAUAUGUCAUCUCAGAGCCAUCUUGGGGAAUAUUACAACUGGGUGGAUGGCUGUGAAUUUAUAAAGCCUGCAGACCAGAGCAUGUGCUGGCACUAAGGAGAGACUUCACUACAACAAGAAAUGCUCCUCAUACUGCACAUCCUAAGGAGAGCUUCUGAUCAUGCCAUUCCAAAUCAGACUGUGAUCAAGCAGAAGACAACUGGCCAAAUCAGCUGGGUAGCUUGAAGGACCAAUUACUAUGGAUGUUUGCCACUGAAAAUACGUCAUUAUGAACCAUCUGUGCAUCGUCUUCAAGAUGAUCCUCCAUCCUGUCAACUAGAACUAAUAAAAAUCCAAUA